CAGCAGCCGCGGUAAUACAGAGGGUGCGAGCGUUAAUCGGAUUUACUGGGCGUAAAGCGUGCGUAGGCGGCUUUUUAAGUCGGAUGUGAAAUCCCUGAGCUUAACUUAGGAAUUGCAUUCGAUACUGGGAAGCUAGAGUAUGGGAGAGGAUGGUAGAAUUCCAGGUGUAGCGGUGAAAUGCGUAGAGAUCUGGAGGAAUACCGAUGGCGAAGGCAGCCAUCUGGCCUAAUACUGACGCUGAGGUACGAAAGCAUGGGGAGCAAACAGGAUUAGAUACCCCUGUAGUCCCUGUCUCUAUACC
rnacentral:rRNA from 1 species